GUGUGGGGUGCAGGGGUGGACGCUCGCUCCGGCUGCCCAGGGACGCUCUCGGGCUCGCCCUCCACAGGGACAGCAGGACGUCGGACUGCGCAUUGCUCAGCAAGCCAGCAGGGCCGCUGGCCUGGAGCUCUGCGCAGUGAGUCACUGCCUGGCGGUCCAGAGAGGGGCUACACGGGCCCUGCGUCCUCCACCUCGUCCCCGGUGCUGCCUAGCAGCUUCUGCCCUCGCCACCCUCCCUGCUGAGGGUACCAGUCAUUGAUUUGGGGUGCACCUGAAACCCACGCUGGCUCCAUCUCAGGGCCCUUAACUGACGACGCCCACGAAGGUCCUGUGUGCACACGGUCACGUCGGCGGUGCCAGGGCCUGACCCCUUAGGGUGCCCAUCCUAGUCUGUGCCCACUGUGCUAGUCCCACUCCGGUCUCUGACACGGGGCCUGCUGAGCGCUGCGGGGACAGGCAGGACCGCCAGGAACAGCCGGUGUGCUCCGGAAACUAGAAAGCACGUCCGGCUUGAAUACAGGAGAGACGUGGUGACCCUGCUUGCUCCUUGGUCCCUGUUCUGGACGGGUGGAGUGUGGCUGAAGAGACCCCGCAAAGCAACCACAGGUGGAGAGAAUACGAAAACCAGGAACGCGGCCAGCGGAGAGGCGAGAGCUGGCCUCCAGCUGCUGCAGGCCUGAAGGCCGAGCGCACCACGCCGAUGUGGGCACGCUGGAAGCAGCUCCCUUAGGAGACGCCGGGUGAGGGGAGGCUCCUAGCCCACACGGACG